rnacentral:lncRNA from 1 species
GUAGGGACUGAUGGUGUUGUUUCCGUUGGUGCAGCAGUCGUAGCCGGCAAGCUACCAGUUCCAGAAGAAUUCUCCUGAACCUGCAGAUGAGGAUCCAAGCUCGUGGGUGCCGUUGGCUGUACGAAUGGCGGCUGGGUUUCUGGUGUGGUUUGGGUUGGGACAAUGGUUACAGGUGGAGAAGAUACAGUAGGUGAUUCUUCGUCAGGUGGGGUCGGAGGUCUUGUGGCUAGACGGGGAAAGGGGAAGGUGUGCUCGUCAAAGGUGACAUGUCGCGAAACAUAAAUG